rnacentral:lncRNA from 1 species
CUCGACUCUUAGUUCCACCUAUCUUGCUUUCCUAUUGGCUAACAGUACUUUAUUUAUCAACCAAUAAGACAAACAUAUAUACAGAAGGACCUCCCCCAUAAAAAGAUUUUCAAUAAAAGGAAAGAAUGUUGCUGAGGCUUCAGCUGACACAGCAAUAUCAAAGCAUUCAAACAGAAGAAUGACAGCUGGAAAGGUAAGACUCACUCAGAAGAGCAUAUCCUACAGCAAGGGAUAUUCAUCCCUAUCUUCCUGGUUGUACUUUAACUUCAGAUGGGAGGAGAAACAAGCUUGCUAGUUUCCAGUUAGCAUUAAUUCCACUCCCUGCAAUUUAGACACAGCACAAAACUUCCUUCUUCCAUCUUCUCAUUAUCAUAGAGUACUCAGGGACAAGCUUGGAAGAAAGUCCAAUUUAUAUCUCCCAUUAUAAAGAAGACUAUAUGUUGUCAAUGCUAAACCUGCAACAGAGCCUUCAUCCAGUAGCUGAUGGAAGCAGAGGCAAACACCCACAGCUAAUCAUUGAACUGAACUCUGGAAUCCAGUUGCAGAGAAGGAGGAAUGAUGGGCAAAAGGGUCAAGACCAGGCUGGAGAAACCCACAGAAACAGCUGACCUGAACAAGGGGGAGUUCAUAGACCCAAGACUGACAACUGGGAAAACAACAUAGGACUGUUCCAGGUCCCCUGAGUGAAGACAUCAGUUUGGAGGUCUGCUUAAUCUAUGGAGCCUCUUGUAGUAGAUCAGUACUUAUCCCUACCAUAGGAAUGGACUUUGGGAGCUCAUUUCACAUAGAGGGAUACUCCCUCAGCCUAGACACACGGGGGAGGGCCUAGGCCCUGCUCCAAAUGAUAUGACAGACUUUGAAGAUCCUCCAUGGAAAGGGUAUAGGAUAGGGGCUUGGUGGAGGACAGGGGAGGGAGAGAGAACUGGGAUUGGCAUGUAAAACAAGCUUGUUUCUAAGUUAAAUAAAAAAGAAAAAGAAAAAAGAAAAAAUAAUCCUG